rnacentral:rRNA from 1 species
CUUCCAGACUCCUACGGGAGGCAGUGGGGGAUAUUGCACAAUGGGGGAAACCCUGAUGCAGCGACGCCGCGUGUGGGAAGACGGUCCCCUGGAUUGUAAACCACUGUCCCCAGGGACGAAGAUGACGGUACCUGGGGAGGAAGCUCCGGCUAACUACGUGCCAGCAGCCGCGGUAAUACGUAGGGAGCGAGCGUUGUCCGGAAUUACUGGGUGUAAAGGGAGCGUAGGCGGGACUGCAAGUUGGGUGUCAAAUCUACCGGCUCAACCGGUAGCCGCACUCAAAACUGCAGUUCUUGAGUGAAGUAGAGGCAGGCGGAAUUCCUAGUGUAGCGGUGAAAUGCGUAGAUAUUAGGAGGGACACCAGUGGCGAAGGCGGCCUGCUGGGCUUUUACUGACGCUGAGGCUCGAAAGUGUGGGGAGCAAACAGGAUUAGAUACCCCCGUACUC